CUUUGCAAGUGAGAUUAUGUUAACUGUCUCUGUUGUGACACCUAACCUAGGGUUUGUUGUGCACAGAAACUGAGAGAUGGGAGAGGUCUCUGACUUGGUUAAAAGUUCUGCUGUGGGAUGGAGCUGGACAUAUCUUUGCCACGAUGCUGGAGUUGCUAUGCUGUACGAGCUGGCUGUACUGAAUUUUUCCAUCCUGUAUAUACCACACCAAUGUCAUAAGCAUGUUGCACUUUCCCAUUAAUAUUAGCAAAUUAGCAGCCAUUUGGGAUUAAACUCAGCAAACAAACAGUAA